UACGUAGGUGGCAAGCGUUGUCCGGAUUUACUGGGCGUAAAGAGCGCGCAGGCGGUCGUUCAAGUCGCGUGUGAAAGCCCCCGGCUCAACUGGGGAGGGUCACGCGAUACUGAUCGACUCGAAGGCAGGAGAGGGUAGUGGAAUUCCAAGUGUAGCGGUGAAAUGCGUAGAGAUUUGGAGGAACACCAGUGGCGAAGGCGACUUUCUGGUCUGUAACUGACACUGAGGCGCGAAAGCGUGGGGAGCGAACAGG
rnacentral:rRNA from 1 species